rnacentral:rRNA from 1 species
CAGAAUUCAGUGAAUCAUCGAAUCUUUGAACGCACCUUGCGCUCCUUGGUAUUCCGAGGAGCAUGCCUGUCUGAGUGUCAUGAAUAUCUCAACCCUCAAAGUAUUCGUACUAUGAGCGGCUUGGACUUGGAGGCUUGCCGGCGUUCGUCGGCUCCUCUCAAAUGAAUUAGCUAUGGAUCGCGAUGUGGUAUGAUCUAAAGUGUGAUACAUGUCUACGCUGAAGAUCGAUCACGCAAGCCACCGUCCUUCGGGAUAGCGCCUUCACGGGCCGUGUGGUUAGCGAAUACAGAGCUCCUAAUCGUCCGCCCCUGUGGACAACAAACCCCUGACAUCUGACCUCAAAUCAGGUAGGACUACCCGCUGAACUUAAGCAUAUCAAUAAGCGGAGGAAAAGAAACUAACAAGGAUUCCCCUAGUAACUGCGAGUGAAGCGGGAAAAGCUCAAAUUUAAAAUCUGUCGUCCUUCGGGCGUCCGAGUUGUAUUCUGGAGAAGCGUCUUCCGUGC